ensembl:lncRNA
GUCUGACAAGAACUCUCAUCUCUGGAACUCGCCUAGGUCCUCCGGGAUGCACCAGCCCAGACCUGGCGCUUCAGGUUGGCACCGCUCAGAGUUCUGAUCCCUGCUGACCUUUGCAUCUUGACCUCAAGUCUCACGGCAAACACUGCUGGUCUCAAUGGCUUAUAUGGAUACAGCCAUGCCAAAGUAAAUGAUCCAUAGUUCAACAAAUGGGAACAUCUCCAACUAUGGCUUUGAUCUCAUCUACACAGAUAUAGAGGGAGUUAAAGGAUCUGCGUAUUACUGGAUGAUAACAAAUAUUGAGCACCAA